CUUACCUAGCCACAGGUCAAUGACGCGCCAGAUACAUGCGUCAUCCGCCAGACACUCCCCCGAAGCCAGCGAGGAUGGCUGCGCGCGCGUUUGAGCGCUCGCGCGCGGCGACCCGUCUGUCUCAUUCUUUUUUUCUUUUUUAAAUGUAACCUGGUUUAUUGGGCUCUCGGCGUAUUCUUGCGUUCCUUCUGCACUGGGACAAGACACCACUGCACUAUUGGACUACGGCAAGCUGGUACCGUCCGGUGGAGCUUCAUACAGGAACUACUGCCUUACCUGCUGGUGUCACAACGUUGGAUGAACGCACAAAAAGCGCGGAACGAGCUUUUAUAUAAGAGCAAAAUAAAUAUUUCCU